GCCGGCCAAAGAUCUUGCUGCAGUCCACACAGCAUCCGGGGGCCAUGGAAGACAGAUGCUGGGCUUUCUGCCACAGGCCCCGAGAGCAGACACCACCUAUUCUGCUCACUGCUGUCACUCCGCUCACGGCUUCAGUAGAGGGACAACACUAUUGCUGGCUGACUCAGUGGGCCCCAUGGCACUUCUGUCUGGCGGUGGAAGCCAGGCCUCACUGUGGCUCCAGAAUCCUGCAGCUUCUCUGCACCUCCAUUGCCAGAGAACAUCCGGGGGUUUGACCGUGCUCCCCUUCUUCAUCAGCGCUCUUGCUUCCUUACAGAUUAGCCCCACGGAGCAGCAGCCUCCAGCCCCUGAGAGCACAGAUCAGUCUGGAAUAGGCAGGUCUAUGGGGACAGAUGAAUGCUUGCCUAGGGCUGGGAGGUUGGGAGAAAAUGGCAGUGACUGCUCAUGGUACAGGAUUUCUCUUUGGGGUGAUGAAAAUGUCCUAAACCAUGGUGAUCGAGGCACAAUUUUACGAAUACACAAAACCCCACUGAACUGUUCAAAAAAAAAAAAGCAAACAUACUUAACAUUAAAGCCAAAAGUCAAUUCUUGUCCCUUCUCUACUCAGGACUCUCAGUGGUUCCUAUCUCACUCUGAGUCAAAGCGAAGGUCCUCUGGAUGACCUGUGAGGGUCUCCUGUUACCUGACUGACUUGCCCCUCCCUCCUCUCCCUCCUUCACUCCACUGGGCCUCUGUGAUGUUCUGAUGACCUGCUACGGCCAUUCCUACCUCAGGGCCCUUGCUCUUGCUCUUCCACUGCCUAG